GCCUCACAGGAAUCUGACGUUUCUUGGGGAGACGUAGACGCAUAUGGAUGUUGAUUUCUGGCCCUCAAGAGUCUACGCUAAGCACCUCUCUGCUGUACAAGCUGACAGAUACAACUCUGAUAAUAAUUUGGCAAUGGAUGAUUCGGAUGGAGAUGAGGAUUCAAGAGCGUAUUUUCCAUGCCCCUUCUGCUAUGUAGACAUUGAAGUCCA
rnacentral:misc_RNA from 1 species